rnacentral:rRNA from 1 species
UACGAAGGGGGCUAGCGUUGCUCGGAAUCACUGGGCGUAAAGGGUGCGUAGGCGGGUCUUUAAGUCAGGGGUGAAAUCCUGGAGCUCAACUCCAGAACUGCCUUUGAUACUGAGGAUCUUGAGUUCGGGAGAGGUGAGCGGAACUGCGAGUGUAGAGGUGAAAUUCGUAGAUAUUCGCAAGAACACCAGUGGCGAAGGCGGCUCACUGGCCCGAUACUGACGCUGAGGCACGAAAAGCGUGGGUAGCAAACAGG